rnacentral:rRNA from 1 species
UGAGGAAUAUUGCACAAUGGGCGCAAGCCUGAUGCAGCGACGCCGCGUGUGGGAUGAAGGGGCUACGCCUCGUAAACCACUGUAGCCCGGGACGAAAAACGCCUUAGAGGCGUUAGACGGUACCGGGAAAGUAAGGGUAGGCUAACUACGUGCCAGCAGCCGCGGUAAUACGUAGGACCCAGGCGUUGUCCGGAUUUACUGGGAGUAAAGGGUGCGCAGGCGGAUGGGUAAGUCAGGGGUGAAAGUAUGCAGCUUAACUGUAGAAUUGCCUUUGAUACUGCUCAUCUUGAGUGUGGGAGAGGUUGAUGGAAUUCCAGGUGUAGCAGUGAAAUGCGUAGAUAUCUGGAAGAACACCAGUGGCGAAGGCGGUCAACUGGCCCAUAACUGACGCUCAUGCACGAAAGCGUGGGGAGCAAACA